UAACGCAUCGAUAAUAUAAUAGCAUUUUUAUUUUUAAAGAUAAUUUGAAAUUCUUUAUAUUGCUUUGAAAUAGCUAUUAGGAAGCUUCUUUCUUUACGAACUAGUGUUGUAUGAAUAAAAAAUAGAAUUUUCUUCUUAGCCCUCAUCAUAAAAGUCCUUUUAAAAAAUAAGGACUUUCUUAUUGAUGACUUCUUGAUAGGUUUUGUCCAAAAGAAUUUUAUAAGAAAUUCAACAUCAUAAAACCUCCAAUCUUUAGAUAGAUUAUAUCUUUCCAUCAACAAAAGUCCUAAAAUGAUAGAAUUACAUAAAAUUUUAAUAAUAUUGAAUACUAUUUUGCUAUUGUAGCCAUUGAAUGAUAUUUUUAGUAAUAUGGUCUCAUAAGCAAUAUUGCUUG
rnacentral:lncRNA from 1 species